rnacentral:lncRNA from 1 species
UUUUAUUUUUACAGGGAAAGUUGCAGAAGAUUUGCUUUGACCUCAAAGUACAUUCUUUGUUUCCCUGGUGAUAAAGACCUCAGUCAUAGGACAACUGGGUAAACUGAAGUAGCCAAUUCUGCAAAGGAAGGUGGACUUUGCUUUCCAGUUCAGGAUCUUUUAUUACUGGUACUAUUAAGGCAAUCUUGGCAAAGUCUCAUUCAUAUUUAUUUAUGAACUGUGUUCUUGGCUAGAUAAGAGGGUACACUGUCACAAGGCAAGGCAGCAGCACUCCUUUUAUGACAUCAGAGAGGUCUUUGCCAAUGGCUCUGUUGCAUGCUUACGUAAUGUAAAAUAGUAGGCACAUAGUUGAAUGAAGGCUCAGGCGGAGAGGAUCACUUUUCAAAGAUUGUAAAAGAAGUUACGUGGAUAGUGUGUGUUAUGCAGCAAGGAAAGGAAUGGAAAAUCAGAAGACGUGUUUAGAUCACACAAACCAGAGGUGAAAGCUGAAUCUGAGAGGCUUCUGUUUCCAGCAAUAAGCUCUGUUGUUUGGUGAAUACUCAUUUAGGAUUGUUAAAUCUUCUUGGAGGAUUGACCUUUUUAUCAUUAGGUUGCUGAAGAAGAAUCUUACUCUAGGGCUCACUAGCAACUUUGGACUGGUGAUGUAUAAGACAUUAUAUAUUUCUGGGGUUUUUUUUUUGCUUUUUUUAUUUACAAAAGGUGAAUUUAGUUGUUUCUCUCUCAUUCCCUUAGUUCAAAAAUGAUUAGCCCCAGAUAUUGCCCUAUUCUUUUCCAAAUUCUGGUUAUACAUCAAAAUAAACAACCAAACAAAAACAUAGGGUUAGGGGAGAUUGGAUGAAAGAAAGAAGAAGAUGAAAGAAAGAAGAAAAAAACAUUCAAAGGCAAUGUUUUUCUUAACUGCUGUUCCCUUCAGUAAGAUAUAUAUUUCAGGCUGUGUCCACAGCACACACAUAUUUAACUAAAACAAACAUUUGACAAAGCAAUAGUUAUCCUUACAGAGGGAUAUGACACUUUUAUAUUUCCUGUUCUAGUCUAUCCUUUUUAAUGGUGCUUUUGACACACUAAUUAAGUCCAUAAACCACGAAGGGAUACCACCAAUGGUUUGAAAAUGAUAUCUUAAGGAGAUGCAAAAAUGUGAAAAGAGGGAGUUUCGUUUCAUAUGUAAUACGUACUAACUGACCUAGACUUUGUGAAAGUGGUAAAAAAAAUCACAGUGUGAUUUCAUUUCUAUAAAGAAUGCACAUCCAUAUAGACUCCUUCAGGCUGGGUAGGAGGCAGUGCUGGGUUGUGCUUUCUUCUUUUUCUUUCU